UUAACUCUCACUCUCUGAAAACCUCUCCACAUCAUCCAGAACCUUCAUCUCAAACCCUAGCUCAACCACCGUCUUCCAUCACCUCUCUCCGCUGCACCUCCUCCGCCUCAACUCUCCGGCCACCGGCGGCCCUCACUUCUCAACCCUCCGGUGCUCUGUUGCCGGUUCCGAGACCGGAUUCUUCACCAAACUAGGACGGUUGAUCAAAGAGAAGGCGAAGAAAGACGUCGAGAAGAUAUUCUCCAGUGGAUUUAUGAAAACGAGAGAUAAUUUGGCGGUUAUUGAUGAGUUGUUGCUGUAUUGGAAUCUGUCGGAUACGGAUCGAGUUCUGGAUGAGAUUGAAGAGGCAUUUUUGGUGUCGGAUUUUGGCCCAAAGAUCACAAUAAAGAUUGUUGAGAGCUUGCGGGAUGAUAUAUAUGCUGGAAAGCU